rnacentral:misc_RNA from 1 species
CAAAUAUAUGAUUUUAUGUUGUUGCACUUCUAAAACGAAUUUAUUUUGUACAUUUGCAACUGAAAAGACUAACUGGCUCUGGUAUAGGCUAUAGCGAUGUCACAUUACCCAAAUUAGUCUUCAGCUGUCCUUAUAACGAUUAAAAAAGGAAAUGCUCUGUUCUUGUUUGUGCAAUUUGCGUUCAACACAACGUAUAAAACCUUUUUUUGUCUUUUGACAACACUUGCAGUUUUGGUCAGUCUUCUGUCAGUUCAAAACAUGUUCACAUUUUUUGUCAAUCUAUGUGAAAUAUGGCCCGAUAUCCCCUUUAAAGAAAAUUGGUGUCCACUUUCUUGAACUAAUUUGAAUAUGAUGAAUUAGGACAGGUCAGCUGAUGUUGUCAUUAAAACCACUGAAAGUAAUUAACCUGCAUCUGAAACAUUAAAACAAAACGAAGUUAAGGUUCAUAUACAUGUAAUUUUGGUGUUUUAUUUUUAUCAAUGUUAAAGUAUUGAUUAGCGGUACAUGAUUAUGCUAAUAUGUUUGACGUUUUCAAUAAAUGAGAUGGAUUAAAAU